rnacentral:rRNA from 1 species
CCCUUAGAUGUUCUGGGCCGCACGCGUGCUACACUGUUCGACGCAGCGAGUCUUAACCUUGACCGAAAGGUUUGGGUAAUCUUCAGCAAAGUCGAACGUGAUGGGGAUCGAUCAUCGCAAUUAUUGAUCGUGAACGAGGAAUUCCUAGUAAGUGCAAGUCAUCAGCUUGCGCUGAUUACGUCCCUGCCCUUUGUACACACCGCCCGUCGCUACUACCGAUUGAAUGGUUUAGUGAGAUCUCUGGAUUGACGCUGGCUAGGGGGCGACCCUUGGCCAGACUGCUCGAGAAACUGCUCAAACUUGAUCAUUUAGAGGAAGUAAAAGUCGUAGCA